AGUAGUGAGGUUCCACCUCUUCCCAUUCCGAACAGAGAAGUUAAGCUCACUAACGCCGAUGGUACUGCGGUUUUCCCGUGGGAGAGUAGGU
rnacentral:rRNA from 1 species